rnacentral:rRNA from 1 species
UACGGAGGGUGCAAGCGUUAUCCGGAUUCACUGGGUUUAAAGGGUGCGUAGGUGGGCAGGUAAGUCAGUGGUGAAAUCUCCGGGCUUAACCCGGAAACUGCCGUUGAUACUAUUUGUCUUGAAUAUUGUGGAGGUAAGCGGAAUAUGUCAUGUAGCGGUGAAAUGCUUAGAUAUGACAUAGAACACCAAGUGCGAAGGCAGCUUACUACACAAUGAUUGACACUGAGGCACGAAAGCGUGGGGAGCAAACAGG